GACGAACGCUGGCGGCGUGCCUAAUACAUGCAAGUCGAACGAACUCUGGUAUUGAUUGGUGCUUGCAUCAUGAUUUACAUUUGAGUGAGUGGCGAACUGGUGAGUAACACGUGGGAAACCUGCCCAGAAGCGGGGGAUAACACCUGGAAACAGAUGCUAAUACCGCAUAACAACUUGGACCGCAUGGUCCGAGUUUGAAAGAUGGCUUCGGCUAUCACUUUUGGAUGGUCCCGCGGCGUAUUAGCUAGAUGGUGAGGUAACGGCUCACCAUGGCAAUGAUACGUAGCCGACCUGAGAGGGUAAUCGGCCACAUUGGGACUGAGACACGGCCCAAACUCCUACGGGAGGCAGCAGUAGGGAAUCUUCCACAAUGGACGAAAGUCUGAUGGAGCAACGCCGCGUGAGUGAAGAAGGGUUUCGGCUCGUAAAACUCUGUUGUUAAAGAAGAACAUAUCUGAGAGUAACUGUUCAGGUAUUGACGGUAUUUAACCAGAAAGCCACGGCUAACUACGUGCCAGCAGCCGCGGUAAUACGUAGGUGGCAAGCGUUGUCCGGAUUUAUUGGGCGUAAAGCGAGCGCAGGCGGUUUUUUAAGUCUGAUGUGAAAGCCUUCGGCUCAACCGAAGAAGUGCAUCGGAAACUGGGAAACUUGAGUGCAGAAGAGGACAGUGGAACUCCAUGUGUAGCGGUGAAAUGCGUAGAUAUAUGGAAGAACACCAGUGGCGAAGGCGGCUGUCUGGUCUGUAACUGACGCUGAGGCUCGAAAGUAUGGGUAGCAAACAGGAUUAGAUACCCUGGUAGUCCAUACCGUAAACGAUGAAUGCUAAGUGUUGGAGGGUUUCCGCCCUUCAGUGCUGCAGCUAACGCAUUAAGCAUUCCGCCUGGGGAGUACGGCCGCAAGGCUGAAACUCAAAGGAAUUGACGGGGGCCCGCACAAGCGGUGGAGCAUGUGGUUUAAUUCGAAGCUACGCGAAGAACCUUACCAGGUCUUGACAUACUAUGCAAAUCUAAGAGAUUAGACGUUCCCUUCGGGGACAUGGAUACAGGUGGUGCAUGGUUGUCGUCAGCUCGUGUCGUGAGAUGUUGGGUUAAGUCCCGCAACGAGCGCAACCCUUAUUAUCAGUUGCCAGCAUUAAGUUGGGCACUCUGGUGAGACUGCCGGUGACAAACCGGAGGAAGGUGGGGAUGACGUCAAAUCAUCAUGCCCCUUAUGACCUGGGCUACACACGUGCUACAAUGGAUGGUACAACGAGUUGCGAACUCGCGAGAGUAAGCUAAUCUCUUAAAGCCAUUCUCAGUUCGGAUUGUAGGCUGCAACUCGCCUACAUGAAGUCGGAAUCGCUAGUAAUCGCGGAUCAGCAUGCCGCGGUGAAUACGUUCCCGGGCCUUGUACACACCGCCCGUCACACCAUGAGAGUUUGUAACACCCAAAGUCGGUGGGGUAACCUUUUAGGAACCAGCCGCCUAAGGUGGGACAAAUGAUUAGGGUG
rnacentral:rRNA from 1 species